GUGUUCACUUUAGCAGCACAUAUACUAAAAUUGAAACAAUGAAGAGAAGAUUAGCAUGGCCCUUGCGCAAGGAUGAUACGCAAAUUCAUGAAGCGUUCCAUAUUUUU
rnacentral:snRNA from 1 species